CCCCAUCUGUCUGGAACAGAAUGCACAAGGUCAGGAGUGUUUGGAAAGCUUAAUUCUGGAGUACACCGAACAUCAAGGCUGAACAAGAUAAUUGCAAAGGAUGAAGUUGUUGAUGAACAAUAUUCCUCUUCUUGUACUUGAGGAAGAAAAAACACAGGGAAAGCCAAGAGCGAUCAUGGGACUACUCUGUUUAGGCAGGUGGCAUUUCCGUAAAUAAAAGAGAAACCAUUUCCAGGCAGGCACCCAUCAGAAAAUUAAAGAACCAGCAACGGGCAGCCAGG